rnacentral:rRNA from 1 species
UACGUAGGGGGCAAGCGUUGUCCGGAAUUAUUGGGCGUAAAGAGCUCGUAGGCGGUUUGUCGCGUCUGCUGUGAAAACUCAGGGCUUAACCCUGAGCCUGCAGUGGGUACGGGCAGACUAGAGUGUGGUAGGGGAGAUCGGAAUUCCUGGUGUAGCGGUGGAAUGCGCAGAUAUUGGGAAGAACACCCGUGGCGAAGGCGGCUCUCUGGAACGCAACUGACGCUGAGACGCGAAAGCGUGGGGAGCAAACAGGAUUGAGAAACC